rnacentral:rRNA from 1 species
AUUGAACGCUGGCGGCAUGCGUUACACAUGCAAGUCGAACGGUAACAGGCCGCAAGGUGCUGACGAGUGGCGAACGGGUGAGUAAUGCAUCGGAACGUGCCCAGUCGUGGGGGAUAACGCAGCGAAAGCUGCGCUAAUACCGCAUACGAUCUAUGGAUGAAAGCGGGGGACCGUAAGGCCUCGCGCGAUUGGAGCGGCCGAUGUCAGAUUAGGUAGUUGGUGGAGUAAAGGCUAACCAAGCCAACGAUCUGUAGCUGGUCUGAGAGGACGACCAGCCACGCUGGGACUGGGACACGGCCCAGACUCCUACGGGAGGCAGCAGUGGGGAAUUUUGGACAAUGGGCGAAAGCCUGAUCCAGCAAUGCCGCGUGCAGGAAGAAGGCCUUCGGGUUGUAAACUGCUUUUGUACGGAACGAAACGGCUUUUUCUAAUACAGAGAGCUAAUGACGGUACCGUAAGAAUAAGCACCGGCUAACUACGUGCCAGCCGCCGCAGUAAAAC